AAAACUUGACAACCCAAAAGUAUAUCAAAAUCACACCCAAUUUCCAGCCAUCACCACAUUAAUCGACCUUUCAAAAGGUCCAUUUCUCAAACACACAAACAAUGUCAAAUUCCACAAAAAAGGUAAAAAAUUUGACAAUAGGAAAGAUUCCCAACACACAUGAAAUUAGAAUACCACCAAAUCGAAUUCUCAAUUCACAAAUAAACUAAAAGACUUACGAAUCCUACACCUGACUUGUGAGAUAAGCACCCAACCCCACGGAUGAACCAC
rnacentral:lncRNA from 1 species